UGAUCCUGGCUCAGGACGAACGCUGGCGGCGUGCUUAACACAUGCAAGUCGAACGAGAAUCUACUGAAAGAGUUUUCGGACAAUGGAAGUAGAGGAAAGUGGCGGACGGGUGAGUAACGCGUGAGGAACCUGCCUUGAAGAGGGGGACAACAGUUGGAAACGACUGCUAAUACCGCAUGAAGCAUAGGGGUCGCAUGAUCUUUAUGCCAAAGAUUUAUCGCUUCAAGAUGGCCUCGCGUCUGAUUAGCUGGUUGGCGGGGUAACGGCCCACCAAGGCGACGAUCAGUAGCCGGACUGAGAGGUUGAACGGCCACAUUGGGACUGAGAUACGGCCCAGACUCCUACGGGAGGCAGCAGUGGGGAAUAUUGGGCAAUGGGCGCAAGCCUGACCCAGCAACGCCGCGUGAAGGAAGAAGGCUUUCGGGUUGUAAACUUCUUUUAAGAGGGAAGAGCAGAAGACGGUACCUCUAGAAUAAGCCACGGCUAACUACGUGCCAGCAGCCGCGGUAAUACGUAGGUGGCAAGCGUUGUCCGGAUUUACUGGGUGUAAAGGGCGUGCAGCCGGGUCUGCAAGUCAGAUGUGAAAUCCAUGGGCUCAACCCAUGAACUGCAUUUGAAACUGUAGAUCUUGAGUGUCGGAGGGGCAAUCGGAAUUCCUAGUGUAGCGGUGAAAUGCGUAGAUAUUAGGAGGAACACCAGUGGCGAAGGCGGCCUGCUGGGCUUUAACUGACGCUGAGGCUCGAAAGUGUGGGGAGCAAACAGGAUUAGAUACCCUGGUAGUCCACACCGUAAACGAUGGAUACUAGGUGUGGGGGGUCUGACCCCCUCCGUGCCGCAGUUAACACAUUAAGUAUCCCACCUGGGGAGUACGAUCGCAAGGUUGAAACUCAAAGGAAUUGACGGGGGCCCGCACAAGCGGUGGAGUAUGUGGUUUAAUUCGAAGCAACGCGAAGAACCUUACCAGGGCUUGACAUCCUACUAACGAAGUAGAGAUACAUUAGGUGCCCUUCGGGGAAAGUAGAGACAGGUGGUGCAUGGUUGUCGUCAGCUCGUGUCGUGAGAUGUUGGGUUAAGU
rnacentral:rRNA from 1 species